GACGAACGCUGGCGGCGUGCCUAAUACAUGCAAGUAGAACGCUGAGGGAGGAGCUUGCUUCUCUGGAUGAGUUGCGAACGGGUGAGUAACGCGUAGGUAACCUGCCUGGUAGCGGGGGAUAACUAUUGGAAACGAUAGCUAAUACCGCAUAAUAUUGACUAUUGCAUGAUAGUCAGUUGAAAGGUGCAACUGCACCACUACCAGAUGGACCUGCGUUGUAUUAGCUAGUUGGUGGGGUAACGGCUCACCAAGGCGACGAUACAUAGCCGACCUGAGAGGGUGAUCGGCCACACUGGGACUGAGACACGGCCCAGACUCCUACGGGAGGCAGCAGUAGGGAAUCUUCGGCAAUGGACGGAAGUCUGACCGAGCAACGCCGCGUGAGUGAAGAAGGUUUUCGGAUCGUAAAGCUCCGUUGUAAGAGAAGAACGAGUGUGAGAGUGGAAAGCUCACACUGUGACGGUAUCUUACCAGAAAGGGACGGCUAACUACGUG
rnacentral:rRNA from 1 species